rnacentral:rRNA from 1 species
CCUACGGGGGGCUGCAGUGGGGAAUAUUGCACAAUGGGCGCAAGCCUGAUGCAGCCAUGCCGCGUGUAUGAAGAAGGCCUUCGGGUUGUAAAGUACUUUCAGCGGGGAGGAAGGCGAUGGGGUUAAUAACCUUAUCGAUUGACGUUACCCGCAGAAGAAGCACCGGCUAACUCCGUGCCAGCAGCCGCGGUAAUACGGAGGGUGCAAGCGUUAAUCGGAAUUACUGGGCGUAAAGCGCACGCAGGCGGUCUGUUAAGUCAGAUGUGAAAUCCCCGGGCUUAACCUGGGAACUGCAUUUGAAACUGGCAGGCUUGAGUCUUGUAGAGGGGGGUAGAAUUCCAGGUGUAGCGGUGAAAUGCGUAGAGAUCUGGAGGAAUACCGGUGGCGAAGGCGGCCCCCUGGACAAAGACUGACGCUCAGGUGCGAAAGCGUGGGGAGCAAACAGGAUUAGAUACCCGUGUAGUC